rnacentral:rRNA from 1 species
UACGGAGGGUGCAAGCGUUGUCCGGAUUCAUUGGGUUUAAAGGGUGCGCAGGCGGGACAUUAAGUCAGGGGUGAAAGACGGUAGCUUAACUAUCGCAGUGCCUUUGAUACUGAUGGGCUUGAAUGGACUAGAGGUAGGCGGAAUGUGACAAGUAGCGGUGAAAUGCAUAGAUAUGUCACAGAACACCAAUUGCGAAGGCAGCUUACUAUGGUUUAAUUGACGCUGAGGCACGAAAGCGUGGGGAUCAAACAGG